rnacentral:ncRNA from 1 species
UGAAAAUCGAUGAAAAGAAAAGUAAAUUUAAAAACAGAAUUAAAGAGAGCUGUUGUUUGGUGGAAGUACAGUAUUUAUGAUUAAAUUGAAUGGAUCUUUGAGAUUUGGAGUGAAAGUAUAUAAUUUAUAUUAUUAGUUUCAAACGUAGCCUGCGUUAAAGGAUAUACAUUAUUUUGAGGGGAGUUAUGCUCCUGAAAAUAGGUGGUACCGCGUGAAAUAUCUACGCCCUAUAG